CGCUUAUAAGCGUCAUAAAAUUUCUAUGUCGCUUUUAAACCGACGUAAAAAUUUAGUGUCGCUUAUAACCGACAUAUAUUUUAAUAUUUUUAAGUACUGGCGUCGCUUUAAAUAAAAUAGUGUCGCUUUUAAGCGACAUAAACUAUGGGUGUCGCUUCUAGGCGACACUAAUUCUUGUUUUUAAUAUUUUAAAUCCUGCGUCGGUUUUGAGCGCCAUAUAUUUUGAAAACCAGUGUCGGUUGUAAGCGACACAUUGAUGGUCUUUAUAUCCUCUCCCCCGUGUUUUCUUUUUCUUCUCUUGCACUUUUCUUAUUCGUUCUUCCAAUUUUUACAAAGUCUCCCGUGUUCUCUCGCUUUCAGCUUUCUCCUUUGGUUUUCAAACUUCAUUUGUUCCUCUUCACAACAGAAAUUUAUUUGAGUUGGUUGAGUACAUAAAGAAUUGUUGACGUCGAAAUUCUUCAACAAAUCAGGGUUGGCGUGGAAGAGACUCCCUUUCUUGAAUCAUUAGCGUUGCCUACCGGGUUCGUUAAUCAUGCAAAUACCGAUGAUGAGUUAACAGAUGAUGACAGGGAAUAAAUAUAUUAAUUAUUUUUUGUAUUAAUUAGACUUUGUUUCAUUUUGUAUGCUAUGAUAUCCUAUCAUAAAAUUAUAUUUUUGUUUUUUUUUUUUCUUGUUUCCUGUCACUUUUAACCGACGGCAUAUGUCAUGUGUGUCAGACUUAGCGUCGGUUUUAACCGACGCAACCUUAGCCUAUUCCGACGCAUUGUUAACCUUACGUCGGUUUUAAUCGACGCAACCUUAGCCUAAACCGACGCAAUGUUAA